GCAGGGGUAGGGAAGCGGCCAAACCUGCAGCGUUCAGACGGGCAAGCAGUAAAUGCUUGUUCGGAAUUAGGCGCUGUCGCUUAGUGCGUUCGGGGGUUCGAAUCCUCCCCCCUGCA
rnacentral:tRNA from 1 species